CGGAGUCUCAUGGGAAAGCGCCGGCGACCAGGCUCCUGCUCGGGUCCACCCGGCCCGCUGGCUUCCGCGGUGGCUGUGCUGCGGGCCUGGGAUCCGAGACCGCAGGCGGGGACUCCCUCCGAGUUCGGGGUCUGGGGCCCAGCAGGGCUGCCCAGGCCCUGCCCCCUGGAGGGAGAACAGCCAGUCGGUUCGUGUGUGACCCCGCAGGCCCUGUGAGCGGUCCCUUCCUUCAGCCUCACUCCCGGGGCUCUUCUCCGGUUCCCGGGAGCCUUGCUGGGGCAGCCUCUGCACGCUUUGCGUGCCCGGCUUUGCUCUCCUGCCGGGAUAGUAGCAGGUGUUGAGACCAGAUAAAUAUCUUGUACCCCAAACUCCAUCCAACAUCUGCUUGUGGAGAAGCCAUCCUGCUACGAGUCGGAGCUCAUGAAGAGAUGGGCUGCAUAACUCACCACUUGUCCGUGGAGCACUCACAGCCCCUUUGGUGUGAUCACUGAUUUUUCACCAGCUUUGAAGUGAGAGUGUGAACCAGCGAAGUAAAAUGGAACACUAACUGG